AGGACGAACGCUGGCGGCGUGCUUAACACAUGCAAGUCGAGCGGAAAGGCCCUUCGGGGUACUCGAGCGGCGAACGGGUGAGUAACACGUGGGCAAUCUGCCCCUCGCUCUGGGAUAAACUCCGGGAAACCGGGGCUAACACCGGAUACGACCACUUUAGGCAUCUUCGGUGGUGGAAAGUUUUUCGGCGAGGGAUGAGCCCGCGGCCUAUCAGCUUGUUGGUGGGGUAAUGGCCUACCAAGGCAGUGACGGGUAGCC
rnacentral:rRNA from 1 species